rnacentral:rRNA from 1 species
UACGUAGGGGGCAAGCGUUGUCCGGAUUCAUUGGGCGUAAAGAGCGUGUAGGCGGCCAGGUAGGUCGGUUGUGAAAACUGGAGGCUCAACCUUCAGAGGUCGACCGAAACCAUCUGGCUAGAGUCCGGGAGAGGAGAGUGGAAUUCCUGGUGUAGCGGUGAAAUGCGCAGAUAUCAGGAAGAACACCCGUGGCGAAGGCGGCUCACUGGCCCGGUACUGACGCUGAGGUGCGAAAAGCGUGGGGGAGCAAACAGG